GCUCUGGGUAGCUCAGUCGGUAUAGCAUGAGACACUUAAUCUCUGGGUCGUGGGUUCGAGCCCAUGUUGGGCA